rnacentral:rRNA from 1 species
AACGAACGCUGGCGGCAGGCCUAACACAUGCAAGUCGAACGGGCUGUUCCUUCGGGGGCAGUCAGUGGCGCACGGGUGCGUAACACGUAGGUAAUCAACCCUCUGGUUGGGGAUAACACUUCGAAAGGAGUGCUAAUACCCGGUAUGGCGCAGCGGUACUCGGAUCGCGGCGAGAAAGACCCGCAAGGGUUGCCAGAGGACGAGCCUGCGGCCCAUCAGCUAGUUGGCGAGGUAACGGCUCACCAAGGCGAAGACGGGUAGCUGGUCUGAGAGGAUGAUCGGCCACACUGGAACUGAGACACGGUCCAGACUCCUACGGGAGGCAGCAGUGGGGAAUAUUGCGCAAUGGGCGAAAGCCUGACGCAGUCCCGCCGCGUGAGCGAUGAAGGCCUUCGGUCGUAAGACUCUGUGGGGAGGAGAAGAAUAAAGACCUGUGAAGAGCAGGCCUUGACGGUAGUCUCCUUA